GAUACGGCUUCAUCGACUAGUUCCAGCUCUAAUUAGAGUAGAAUUAUGGUACCAAACAUGUCGACUACAAAUUUAAAACACUAAUAAUUUGGAAGUCGUCAUACUCGUAUCAACACGAUGUAAAAAAUGAUUUGCGUAAAUAAGCAAGCAAGGCCUCUGACACGAAACUAAUCAAAAGUGUUGAAAGACCAACACAAAAUUUGAUUGCUCUGCCUUAAUUAUGCCUGCAGCAUAAUUACAAGUGUACGUGUGUGUUCUGGUAAGCAAUUGGAGUAAGACCGAAUAUAAUUCGAGUUAGGAGCCUGUGUAUUGACCGCGUAUAAACGCGCGCUGUCUAGAGGUGCAAAAAUAGAUAGGCCAGACAAGUCUAGCUCGAGCAAAACAAUCAGUUUUGUGUGUUUGAAAAGUAGAAACAGACCACAAGUCCAGCAGUGAGAGACUGGAAGAAAUAUUUACUGUUUAAGCAGGAAAUAGAAGUGGAAUCAAAAAUAGCCUGCUGGCAAGCUGGACUAAGAGGAGCUUGCCAGACAAAGAUUAGGAGAUUUGAUAUUCAAAAGUGAAAAGUGAAUUUCAAAUGGGGCAUUGAUGGACUGAAAGAAAUAUUUAUGUUUCAGCAGGAAACAGAUUUGGAACCGAAAUAGUCUGCUGGGUUUCAAUUAAAACAUUUUGAGGUGAUCAUUAAGAAAAACCGAAGCAUGUUAGAGCAAAUAUUCUAAACAAAAAUUAAAACCCAAUUAUGCUAAACGACUGAUAAAGUUUGUUGAUUUAUAAUUAAAUAAAAGCAACAUAAAAUCCCGGGGACUAUUCCACGUCGAUAAUUGGACUCUAAAUUUCGAGGGUCUACCUAAUUUAUCGUCCGGACCAAUGUUAACUUAUCAGAUCUUCAAACCUGAUAAAAGUUAGGAUUGUGUAUGCUUAGGUAGAACCCCAACAGCUUCCGACCAAAAAAGUCAGUUGAAAAUGUGUCUGAAACUCAUAAGUAUUGAGAUUGGGAGUUUGGAGUUUGAAAAGUGGCGUUCCAGUUAAAACAUUUUCUUGUUACAAACCACGUUUUCCUGAUUCCUUAAGGGACCACAAAAUUGCCUAUUUGCUCAAAAUGUUCGACAUAAGUUGAACGAGCAAAAGCAAAAGGACGCAAGACAUCUGCUUCUCUAAGUCACCUUUGGGACCGGUAGCAGGUGCUGAAGAUGGCCAUGUUUCCUUCGUUCACCACAUGGAUUUCGUCUUGCUAAUGUUAUCAAAGGUAAAAUUGCUUAUUAAGUUAUACGCAUAU